rnacentral:rRNA from 1 species
CAGGGGAUAUUGCACAAUGGGCGGAAGCCUGAUGCAGCAACGCCGCGUGAGUGAUGAAGGCCCUCGGGUCGUAAAACUCUUUUCAAGAGGAAGAGGAAGGACGGUACUCUUGGAAUAAGCCUCGGCUAACUACGUGCCAGCAGCCGCGGUAACACGUAGGAGGCGAGCGUUAUUCGGAUUUACUGGGCGUAAAGCGCGUGUAGGCGGCUGAUCAAGUUGGAUGUGAAAGCUCCCGGCUUAACUGGGAGAGGACGUUCAAAACUGAACAGCUUGAGUAUGAGAGAGGAAAAUGGAAUUCCGGGUGUAGUGGUGAAAUGCGUAGAUAUCCGGAGGAACACCAGUGGCGAAGGCGGUUUUCUGGCUCAAGACUGACGCUCAGACGCGAAAGCUAGGGUAGCAAACGA